rnacentral:rRNA from 1 species
GACGAACGCUGGCGGCGUGCUUAACACAUGCAAGUCGAACGGUGAAGCUCCAGCUUGCUGGAGUGGAUCAGUGGCGAACGGGUGAGUAACACGUGAGCAACCUGCCCCUGACUCUGGAAUAAGCGCUGGAAACGGCGUCUAAUACUGGAUACGAGAAGGGUCCGCAUGGGCACUUUCUGGAAAGUUUUUCGGUUGGGGAUGGGCUCGCGGCCUAUCAGCUUGUUGGUGAGGUAAUGGCUCACCAAGGCGACGACGGGUAGCCGGCCUGAGAGGGCGACCGGCCCCACGGGGCGUGGGGACGGGCCCGGGCCCCUACGGGGGGCAGGGGUGGGAAAUUUUGGAAAAUGGGCGAAGGCCGGGUGGAGGGACGCCGGGGGGGGGAGGACGGCCUUCGGGUUGUAAACCUCUUUCGGCAGGGAAGAAGCGAAAGGAAGGGAACCGGAAAAAAAAGCCCGGGUAAACUACGG